rnacentral:lncRNA from 1 species
CAAGAAGAGAGGACUCUCUUUUAUUUUUCAUGCCAUGGAACUAUGCCCAAAGACUCCCCCAAUGUGAAGAGCUCUCUCUUGUCACUCUUACAUGCACAAAAAGAAAAAUAACUCCUUUUAUUUUGGCAUGUAAAGAAGUUGGGGUGAAGAGUCUAACAAUGUUUGGACUCUUCCUUUAGUUGUCGCCCCCUCUCACAAUUCCAUGCCCA